rnacentral:rRNA from 1 species
UACGGGGGGAGCAAGCGUUGUUCGGAUUUACUGGGCGUAAAGGGCGCGUAGGCGGCGUGACAAGUCACUUGUGAAAUCUCCGGGCUUAACUCGGAACGGUCAAGUGAUACUGUCGGACUAGAGUACAGAAGGGGCAACUGGAAUUCUCGGUGUAGCGGUGAAAUGCGUAGAUAUCGAGAGGAACACCUGCGGCGAAGGCGGGUUGCUGGGCUGAUACUGACGCUGAGGCACGAAAGCCAGGGGAGCAAACGGG